UUAUUCCCCUACCGUUAAGGUUCCAUCACAAUCCAUCAUAAUCUCCUUACAUGCCAAACCAUUCAAAAAUGAUAGUAAUACCCUUUUCUUCACCCCCCACGCCGGUACUGGUCGUUUGAAACGUAGGGGGUGUUGGUCCUUGUCAUCUGAAUCUGAUCAAAUUCUUUUUCUCUUUUUUUUACAGAGAUUAGAUUUGCAUAUUUGACAGAAUCUGAUCUUUACGCACUCAGAUUUCGAUCUCCGUAAAAUCCAAAUUCCUAUUUUGUCUGGUAUCGGAGUGAUGUCAGUGAUUAGAGGGAGUGGGGCUUUUAGGUUUGCCUAAGGAUAUGCUUAGGUCAAGACACACUCUUUGGACCCCAAAGCUGGUCACACCAUUAUUGAACUUUGAAGCUAGUGAUCUUGAGGCCGAAGCUGGUGGCAUAGGUUUGGGGGAGUUGGUGGCACCACCGCUAAGGGAGCAGAGGAGAAGUCGUCUAACCUGUGGGUUUGGGUGCAUGAGAUGGGCUUCCGCCUCAUCGAACUCUGCCUCUUCCCCAAUGCCACAGGGGAACUGCCGUAACCGCCGAGGUCGUCUUGCUUCACCACUUGCUUCAACGAGGCAGAAAAAGGCACUAAGUAUUGCUCAAAAUGCUCUAAAGAGGGCACCCCUUUUGAUCCCUCUCUUCAACCACUGCUACAUCCCCUGCAAUACUUGCUUGGCUAAAAACCCAAGACGAGAAUCACAUCUUUUGUUGUGGAGUGGAUCUCUCUGAUUUCUUUGAACAUGAGUCAGUAUUCCGAUGCAAUGAGAAGUUGAUUUGUUAGUGCCACCACUAACACUUUCAAUUGGUCUACUUGCAGGGGAGGCAGAGAGGGGGAACGAAGAGGGGAAGGGAAGUGGAGGAAGAAGGAGAUCAUCACUGUUGUUGGAAGUUAUAGUGGUGGCAGUGAUUUUGGUCGUUCCAAAAAUAGAGGUGAAGGGGGUUGGAGGAAGAAGAAGAUCAUCGCCGUUGCUAGAAGUUGUAGUGACAACAGCAAUUUUGGUUGAUCCAAAGCAGACAGAGGAGAAGGGGCGGAGGCAGCGGCGGCGACGGUGUGCGAUUUUGGUCAAUUCAAAAAAUGAACAGAGGAGAAAGGGGUAAAGGAAGAAGAAGAUCAUUGUCACCGCUGGAAGUUUCAGUGGCAGUGGCAAUUUUGGUUGUUCCUAAAACACAUAGAGGAGAAGGGGGUGGAGAAUUCAACGCUACCCGUGACUAUGCUUCAUAUUGGGUUGGUUUUUCAGCGAGCUCCCGUGAUACGAAAAUCCAUGCUUGGUGAGUAGUAAAGAGGGUAUGGUUCGUCUUCUAAUUUCUCAAGGAGAAGCUUAGAUUCCGAUGGUAGCAGGGGGAGGACACCCAGAUGGGUGGAAUUCUGGAGUGAGGUGGUUUUUGAUGGGUGACGUAGAAAUUCUUCAUCGUUGUUAUCUUUAUCAUCGUCACAGCGGUAUAUGGAGUCCACCCUGAGUUCAGCUUGCGUUCACCCUACUUUGCCAUCCAAGGGGUGCCUCACAACAACCUCACAGAUACAUUCCACGCAUUGGGAACAUCUUCCGUAAGUAAUGAUGAAACUGUACCACAUCCCAGCAUCUACAUUCAUGAUCAAUAGGAUCAGCCACCAGAGUGGAGUUUCCCGAAUGCCAUCAGCCUAAGGGCCUGUUUGGGAGGCUUCAGCGUUGAUUGAUCUCAUUGACUGGGCCAGUUUCCCCAGAAAGUGGUCCUUGUGAUGAUCAGAAAGAAACUUCUUCAACAGUUGCACAUGCAAGAGUGGGGCACAGGAGAGAGAUCCGAGUGGAUCAUUUGGUUUUACAUUUAUAAAAUUAUUGAUACUUUAAGCGAGUGAUUUGGGCACACCCCAUUUGUGAUAGAGGAUAGAGGCCCAAUAAAGAAUUGUUUGUUGGUCUUUUUCACUGGGGAUGAAACCAGUUUACUAAAAAAAAGGGACUUAGUAAU